rnacentral:piRNA from 1 species
UCUUGCACAACAGACAUUUUGCUGCUG